rnacentral:rRNA from 1 species
GUGCCAGCAGCCGCGGUAAUACAGAGACUGCAAGCGUUGUUCGGAUUCACUGGGCGUAAAGGGUGCGCAGGCGGCCGGGUGUGUCGGGUGUGAAAGCUCGAGGCUUAACCUCGAAACUGCGCCCGAAACUAUCCGGCUAGAGUACUGGAGAGGGAAGCGGAAUUCACGGUGUAGCAGUGAAAUGCGUAGAUAUCGUGAGGAACACCAAUGGCGAAGGCAGCUUCCUGGACAGUUACUGACGCUCAGGCACGAAAGCGUGGGGAGCAAAAGGGAUUAGAAACCCCCGUAGUCC